GACGAACGCUGGCGGCGUGCUUAACACAUGCCAGUCGAACGGGUCUGCCCUGUUUUUUGCGGGGUGGGUCAGUGGCGAACGGGUGAGUAACACGUGAGUAACCUGCCCCUCACUUCUGGAUAACCGCUUGAAAGGGUGGCUAAUACGGGGUGUUCUGGCUGUGCCGCAUGGUGUGGCUGGGAAAGAUUCACUUUUGUGGUGUUUUGGUGGGGGAUGGGCUCGCGGCCUAUCAGCUUGUUGGUGGGGUGUUGGCCUGCCAAGGCUUUGACGGGUGGCCGGCAUGAGAGGGUGGACGGUCACACUGAGACUGAGAUACGGCCCAGACUGCUGCGGGAGGCAGCAGUGAGGGGUAAUGCACAAUGGGCGGAAGCCUGAUGCAGCGACGUCGCGUGAGGGAUGGAGGCCUUCGGGUUGUGAACCUCUUUCGCCGGUGAAGAAGGUCCUGAUCUUUGUGGUGGGGUUGACGGUAGCCGGGUUAUGAAGCGCCGGCUAACUACGUG
rnacentral:rRNA from 1 species